GACGAACGCUGGCGGCGUGCUUAAUACAUGCAAGUCAACUGAACUUGAGGUAGCAAUAUCACAAGAGAGGUGGCGCACGGGUGAGUAACACGUAGGUAAUCUGCCUUUAGGUCUGACAUAAUUCCGCGAAAGCGGGACUAAUAUCAGAUGAUGCAGCGGCUCGACAUCGAGACAGUUGUUAAACCUUCGGGCCUAAAGAUGAGCCUGCGUCUGAUUAGGUAGUUGGCGGAGUAAAAGACCACCAAGACCUCGCGAUCAGUAGCUGGUCGUGAGAGGAUGAUCAGCCACACUGGAACUGAGACACGGUCCAGACUCCUACGGGAGGCAG
rnacentral:rRNA from 1 species